CGCACAUUGCGCCCGCCAGCACUCUGGCGGGCAUGCCUGUUCGAGCGUCAUUUCAACCCUCAGGCCCUGCCUGGCGUUGGGGCGCUGCCGUCCACCAAGCGGCAGGCUCCUAAAGACAGCGGCGGGAGCGCCCGCGACCGAGCGUAGUACAGCACCUCGCUCAGGGAGCACGGCGCCCUCUGGCCGGAAAAGCACCAAUUACAGUGGUUGACCUCGGAUCAGGUAGGAAUACCCGCUGAACUUAA
rnacentral:misc_RNA from 1 species